AUGCGCCAGAGGGUUUAUGAUAACAGAGCCAUGCGAGUGGUCAACAAUUUCUGGGAUUUCUAUACAUGCGCUGAGGGUCAGAAGGAUCGUGCAAAUGUGGUGGUUGAGAAUAUUGCCAAGAAACUAGUCCACGCCAUGCACUAUGAGGAGCGCGUCCGGUUAGUGGUCAAGUAUCACACGGACUAUCUCAAUCAUAGGAUUUCCAAACAGGAGGCUCGAGGGACGCAUCUUUCACGGGACAAUUACUUCAAGGCAAGCUGGGAGAAGAUUGUCGAACGGUGGACAGAUCCAGGGUGGCAGGAUGAACACAAAGAAAUAUCUGAACAAUAUAAGUUGAUGGGGGGUCGAGGACACCGUCAAGGCAACCUCACCAUCCCAGAAAGAAGACACUGA
rnacentral:rRNA from 1 species